rnacentral:rRNA from 1 species
GAUGAACGCUGGCGGCGUGCCUAACACAUGCAAGUCGAACGAAGCGAUCAAGAUGAAGUUUUCGGAUGAAUUCGAGAUUGACUGAGUGGCGGACGGGUGAGUAACGCGCGGGUAACCUGCCUCAUACAGGGGGAUAACAGUUAGAAAUGACUGCUAAUACCGCAUAAGCGCACAGUAUCGCAUGAUACAGUGUGAAAAACUCCGGUGGUAUGAGAUGGACCUGCGUCUGAUUAGCUAGUUGGUGAGGUAACGGCCCACCAAGGCGACGAUCAGUAGCCGACCUGAGAGGGUGACCGGCCACAUUGGGACUGAGACACGGCCCAAACUCCUACGGGAGGCAGCAGUGGGGAAUAUUGCACAAUGGGGGAAACCCUGAUGCAGCGACGCCGCGUGAGUGAAGAAGUAUUUCGGUAUGUAAAGCUCUAUCAGCAGGGAAGAAAAUGACGGUACCUGACUAAGAAGCCCCGGCUAACUACGUGCCAGCCGCCGCGGUAAUAC